AUUGAACGCUGGCGGCAUGCCUUACACACGCAAGUCGAACGGUAACGGGUCUUCGGAUGCUGACGAGUGGCGAACGGGUGAGUAAUACAUCGGAACGUGCCCGAUCGUGGGGGAUAACGAGGCGAAAGCUUUGCUAAUACCGCAUAAGAUCUAUGGAUGAAAGCAGGGGACCGCAAGGCCUUGCGCGAACGGAGCGGCCGAUGGCAGAUUAGGUAGUUGGUGGGGUAAAGGCUUACCAAGCCUACGAUAUGUAGCUGGUCCGAGAGGACGACCAGCCACACUGGGAGUGAGACACGGCCCAGACUCCUACGGGAGGCAGCAGUGGGGAAUUGUGGACAAUGGGCGCAAGCCUGAUCCAGCCAUGCCGCGUGCAGGAUGAAGGCCUUCGAGUUGUAAACUGCUUUUGUACGUAACGAAAAGCCUUCUUCUAAUAAAGGGAGGUCAUGACGGUACCGUAAGAAUAAGCACCGGCUAACUACGUGCCAGCAGCCGCGGUAACAC
rnacentral:rRNA from 1 species